rnacentral:rRNA from 1 species
GACGAGCGCUGGCGGCGUGCCUAAUACAUGCAAGUCGAACGAGAGCGACCGGUGCUUGCACUGGUCAAUCUAGUGGCGAACGGGUGAGUAACACGUGGGUAACCUGCCCAUCAGAGGGGGAUAACAUCCGGAAACGGAUGCUAAAACCGCAUAGGUCUUCGAACCGCAUGGUUUGAAGAGGAAAAGAGGCGCAAGCUUCUGCUGAUGGAUGGACCCGCGGUGCAUUAGCUAGUUGGUGAGGUAACGGCUCACCAAGGCCGUGAUGCAUAGCCGACCUGAGAGGGUGAUCGGCCACAUUGGGACUGAGACACGGCCCAAACUCCUACGGGAGGCAGCAGUAGGGAAUCUUCCGCAAUGGACGCAAGUCUGACGGAGCAACGCCGCGUGAGUGAAGAAGGUUUUCGGAUCGUAAAACUCUGUUGUUAGAGAAGAACAAGUGCUAGAGUAACUGUUAGCGCCUUGACGGUAUCUAACCAGAAUGCCACGGCUAACUACGUG